UGUUGCUUGCAAGGGCGUAUGGUGGAUGCCUUGGCAGACAGGACCGAUGAAGGACGUUUGAGGCUGCGAUAUGCCUCGGGGAGCCGCCAACAGGGCUUUGAUCCGAGGAUUUCCGAAUGGGGGAACCCACCGACCGUCAUGGGUCGGUACCGGCUUCGGCCGGGGGGUACGCAGGGAAGUGAAACAUCUCAGUACCUGCAGGAAAGGAUAUUCCGUGAGUAGUGGCGAGCGAAAGCGGAUGAUGGCCAAACCUUGCGCGUGUGAUACCCGUCGGGGGUUGCGCGCGGGGUGUUGCGGGAUCGCGUGCGCCGGCUCCGACGGGCCGGCCGGCAGUUGCAGAAAACCAUGUGUCAGGGGAACCGGGUUGAAUACCGGGCCGCAGAGGGUGAGGGCCCCGUACCUGAACGCGCAUGGUCUGCCGAUCGCGUCUCCCAAGUAGCACGGGUCCCGUGGAACCCCGUGCGAAUCCGCCCAGACCGUUGGGUAAGCCUGAAUAUUCCUGUCUGACCGAUAGCGAACGAGUACCGUGAGGGAAAGGUGAAAAGUACCCCGGGAGGGGAGUGAAACAGUCUCUGAAACCGUGCGCCUACAAUCCGUCGGAGCCCUUUUGUGGGGUGACGGCGUGCCUAUCGAAAAAUGAGUCUGCGAGUCAGUGGCAUGUGGCGAGCAUAACCCGUGUGGGGUAUGCGUAGCGAAGGCGAGUCUUAAAAGGCGUUUGAGUCGCGUGUCCUGGACCCGAAGCGGGAUGAUCUAGCCCUGAGCAGGUUGAAGCGCGGGUAAGACCGCGUGGAGGACCGAACCCACCUGGGUUGAAAACCGGGGGGAUGACUUGGGGCUAGGGGUGAAAGGCCAAUCAAAUUCCGUGAUAGCUGGUUCUCUCCGAAAUGCAUUUGGGUGCAGCGUCGGGUCAUUACGUCCCGGGGGUAGAGCUACUGGAUGCUUGCGGGCCCGUAUCGGGUACCAACAGCAACCAAACUCCGAAUACCGGUGACGCGUAUCCCGGCAGUGAGUCGGCGGGGGAUAAGCUUCGUCGUCGAAAGGGAAACAGCCCAGACCGUCGUCUAAGGUCCCGAAGCGUGUGCUAAGUGGGAAAGGAUGUGGAGUCGCAUAGACAGCCAGGAGGUUGGCUCAGAAGCAGCCACCCUUGAAAGAGUGCGUAACAGCUCACUGGUCUAGUGGUUCCGCGCCGACAAUGUAGCGGGGCUCAAGCACACCACCGAAGACGCGGCAGUAUUUUGUACUGGGUAGGAGAGCGUCCCAUGAGGGGCGAAGCGGCCGUGUGAACGCGCCGUGGACUUCAUGGGAGUGAGAAUGCAGACAUGAGUAGCGAGAGACGGGUGAAGAUCCCGUCCGCUGGAUGACCAAGGGUUCCAGGGCCACGUUCAUCGUCCCUGGGUGAGUCGGGUCCUAAGGCGAGGCCGACAGGCGUAGUCGAAUGGAUGAACGGGUCGAUAUUCCCGUACCGGCUUUCAGCCGCCAAAACCGAGGCUUGGAGUACUAACCUCCGGGUCCGGGCUUACUGCUCCUUCGGGGGCGGGAUGCCCUGGCCUGUUGGGACCGAUCCUUGUAGUAGGUCAGCGCAGGAGUGACGCAGAAGGGUAGCCGGCCGCGGAGGUGGUCUUCCGUGGUCAAGCACGCAGGGCGUGGGACAGGCAAAUCCGUCCCGCAUGGGUCCGAGGUGCGAUGAUGGGGGCCUUAUGGCCCGAUAUCCGGUGAUCCCGGCUGCCGAGAAAAGCUUCGGCGUCAGGCUCGAAGCCGCCCGUACCCCAAACCGACACUGGUGGUCAGGUAGAGAAUACCAAAGCGAUCGAGCGAAUCCUGGUCAAGGAACUCGGCAAAUCACUCCCGUUCCUUCGGUUUAAGGGAGACCCCCGAUGGUGAACACACUUGCUGUGGGAGCUUUUGGGGGUGGCACAGACCAGGGGGUAGCGACUGUUUACCAAAAACACAGGUGCAUGCGAAGGCGCAAGCCGCUGUAUAUGCACUGACGCCUGCCCGGUGCCGGAAGGUUAAGAGGAUCCGUCAGCCUUCGGGUGAAGCGGUGAAUUCAAGCCCCGGUAAACGGCGGUGGUAACUAUAACCAUCCUAAGGUAGCGAAAUUCCUUGUCGGGUAAGU
rnacentral:rRNA from 1 species